AUCUCAAAACUCCUUUCUGCUACUGAAUCAGUGGGGGAAGGAAUAAAAUGCAACACCUCAAAACUCCUUCCUGCUACUGAAUCAGUGGGGGAGGAGGGAAUAAAACGCGACACACUCAAAGGAAACAUGUUUAAGGAGGAGAGGAAGUGGUCAGCUUAUAAAACACGACACUGAUCUCAGGUCAGUGUUCAUGUAGAACCCCUCUACUAGUUAACUUAUACUACACUGGUUGAGGAAAUGGAGACUGUUCCUGGAUCUGUGCUUCUGUCGACAGGCACGAGAUCAGAAGGUGUCCAAACUCAUUCCAUGGAGGGCAGUCAUCUGCUGGUUUUAGUUAUUUCACUGUUUAAUAUGUCAGUAUGAAGUCCUAGACAACCAGGUGAGGGGAGAUCCUAGGCAACCAGGUGAGGUCCUAGACAACCAGGUGAGGGGAGAUCCUUGACAACCAGGUGAGAUCCUAGACAACCAGGUGAGAUCCUAGACAACCAGGUGAGGGGAGAUCCUAGACAACCAGGUGAGAUCCUAGACAACCAGGUGAGAUCCUAGACAACCAGGUGAGAUCCUAGACAACCAGGUGAGAUCCUAGACAACCAGGUGAGAUCCCAGACAACCAGUUGAGGUCCUAGACAACCAGGUGAGGGGAGGUCCUAGACAACCAGGUGAGGGGAGGUCCUAGACAACCAGGUGAGGGGAGGUCCUAGACAACCAGGUGAGGUGAGGUCCUAGACAACCAGGUGAGGUGAGGUCCUAGACAACCAGGUGAGGUCCUAGACAACCAGGUGAGGUCCUAGACAACCAGGUGAGGUCCUAGACAACCAGGUGAGGGGAGAUCCUAGACAACCAGGUGAGGUCCUAGACAACCAGGUGAGGUCCUAGACAACCAGGUGAGGUCCUAGACAACCAGGUGAGGUCCUAGACAACCAGGUGAGGGGAGGUCCUAGACAACCAGGUGAGGGGAGGUCCUAGACAACCAGGUGAGGGGAGGUCCUAGACAACCAGGUGAGGGGAGGUCCUAGACAACCAGGUGAGUGGGAGGUCCUAGACAACCAGGUGAGUGGGAGGUCCUAGACAACCAGGUGAGUGGGAGGUCCUAGACAAGCAGGUGAGUGGGAGGUCCUAGACAACCAGGUGAGGGGAGGUCCUAGACAACCAGGUGAGGGGAGGUCCUAGACAACCAGGUGAGGGGAGGUCCUAGACAACCAGGUGAGGGGAGGUCCUAGACAACCAGGUGAGGUC